UGGGGAAUUUUGCGCAAUGGGGGAAACCCUGACGCAGCAACGCCGCGUGAGUGAUGAAGGCUUUCGGGUCGUAAAGCUCUGUCAGAGGGGAAGAAAUGGGACGUGCUAAUAUCGCGUCUUCUUGACGGUACCCUCAAAGGAAGCACCGGCUAAUUCCAUGCCAGCAGCCGCGGUAAUACGGAGGGUGCAAGCGUUGUUCGGAUUUAUUGGGCGUAAAGCGCGUGUAGGCGGUUUCUUAAGUCUGAUGUGAAAGCCCUGGGCUCAACCCAGGAAGUGCAUUGGAUACUGGGAGACUUGAAUACGGGAGAGGGUAGUGGAAUUCCUAGUGUAGGAGUGAAAUCCGUAGAUAUUAGGAGGAACACCGGUGGCGAAGGCGGCUACCUGGACCGAUAUUGACGCUGAGACGCGAAAGCGUGGGGAGCAAACAGGAUUAGAUACCCUGGUAGUCCACGCCGUAAACGAUGAGAACUAGGUGUUGCGGGUAUUGACCCCUGCAGUGCCGCAGCUAACGCAUUAAGUUCUCCGCCUGGGAAGUACGGUCGCAAGACUA
rnacentral:rRNA from 1 species